rfam:Basidiobolus meristosporus CBS 931.73 K493scaffold_482, whole genome shotgun sequence.
AAAAAGGGCCAGUGGCGAGUCAAUGCCACGUAGCAUGCAUUGUGCACUACGCUGAAUCGACAUCAAGAGAUUUUGCUGGCAUAAUUUUUUUAAAUUGACGGCCUUCUGGCUUCGCUCUGAGCUAAGGCCGUCU